rnacentral:misc_RNA from 1 species
GCUUACUGUAUCCUUCUCCAUCCGCACUCAGAACACAUGGCUUUCGCUUCCUGGCUCUCUCGCUUCCGCUCUUCUUCCAAAGCUGCCUACACCAAUCUCCGCAGCUCCUUUUUCCUUAAUCUCAGGCCUCAAACCACACUAGCCACCUCGAAUCUCAUCGACUCCGGCGCUGCGAAACGGCCAUUUCUGUUAUGGUCAAGCUCUCUCCUUCCUCUGACCCUCGCUGUCUCUGCUGGAUCACUCGCCUUCCAUUUCCAACCUCAGCCUUCUCUUUGUGACGCCUCUAAUCUCGAUUCUCGCAUUGGAGGCAAAGAUAGCACCGAGUUUGUGGUAAAGGGUUCUCACAAGAAGGUCCCUCAAGAGCUUAUUGAUGAAUUAAGGGCUAUCUGUCAGGAUAACAUGACAAUGGAUUAUGAUGAAAGGUAUUUCCAUGGGAAGCCACAGAACAGUUUUCAUAAAGCAGUAAAUAUCCCUGAUGUGGUUGUUUUCCCGAGGUCAGAAGUGGAAGUUUCCAACAUUGUCAAAUCUUGUGACAAGUAUAAGGUCCCUAUAGUACCUUAUGGUGGAGCUACAUCAAUUGAGGGCCACACAUUAUCACCUCAUGGUGGUGUUUGCAUUGACAUGUCACUAAUGAAGAGUGUUAAAGCUCUGCACAUUGAGGACAUGGAUGUAGUUGUUGAGCCUGGAAUUGGGUGGAUGGAGCUUAAUGAAUAUUUGGAGCCUUAUGGUCUAUUCUUUCCCCUUGAUCCAGGUACAUUUACAAUUUACUUACCUUGUACAUUUUUAUACUAUUAUUAUGAUAUGGCUUAUUUAAAGUUGAAAAUUUUAAAUUUCAAGCUUUUAACUGGAGUUUUCCAUCUAUAUAUAUGCCAUGUAAAAGCAUAAUGUGGAUAUUGACAAUCAUUUUUUUGUUUGCCUUAAAGGUGGUGAAAAUAAAUAAUCCAGUAAUGUGGCUUGAUGUGCUAAAGAUUCUUUUUUUUGGUCUAUGCUGUGAUUAUUAUUAUUAUGUUCUUCAUACAUGUUGAUAAGCAGGGCCAGGUGCAACCAUUGGGGGAAUGUGUGCUACACGUUGCUCAGGCUCUUUAGCUGUGAGGUAGUUCCUGUAAUCCUGUGCUUCACUGGCUGUCAUAGUUUCAUUUAUUUUGAUGUACUAUUCAUAUAAAUUAGCUUCGUAUCAGCAAAUUAGUUAGAUAACUCUUAUGUAUUAAUUUUUUACUGUUUUAUUUUUUUUUAAUUGGUCAAUAUACGUGCGAAAACAAGUUUCAUCUCAUUUAUAUAUUCUUCAACAAUUUUGAUAUUUUUCUUAUACUUUCUAAUCCUAUUUUUGCUUGAACAACCAAAUGGAUAUUGCUUUUCUUGACAUGUUCAGGGCAUAGGCCAUUUUAGUGUCACAUAUGGACUCCAUUUGUCUUCUUUGUUGUUGGAAUCCUCAUUGACAAUAGAAACACCUGUACGCAACAAGUUCAGAAGCAGCUGCUUUAACUAGUGAUCUUUUGCCAUAACCUUGGUUGAAUUCUUGAAAUAUUUGAAAAUAUGGGGACACAAAAGGCUGUUUGACAAGGGUUUUCUUGUGUUUAAUUUAACACCAGAAAUAUACUUGCUCUGCAUUGGUUUGGAUGAGCCAGGAUUGUUUGUUUCCUUAAUAAGUACAAAUUCAUUUGGGUUUCACUAUCCCUUGCUUUGCAUUGGUUGCCUGCCAUCAAAAUAUCCCUUUAAUAUCACCACCAUGAAUCAUAUAUUCUGUUACUGUUCCCUGUCCAAUAUGAAUGCUCAUGUAUGGAUACCAAUUGAUCAUGCUUCAGCAGUGAGAGAUUUUUAUUUUUAAAAGUUCUUUAGGAUGGUUUAGUUGUAAUGUAAAUAUGAUGUCUUGAAGCACAGUAUGAUGCUGCCUUAGUGCAUUUGUUAUGUAUAUGAUGCUGCCUUAGUGCAUUUGUUAUGUAUGAAAUCCCCUUGUUAUGGCAAUAAAUAAUUUGCUUGACCAGCAUUUAUUAGAAUAGAAUUAUAAUUUACUUCUUGUCAUGCUUCUUAACUAGGAUGCAGUGCAUGGGAUGGUCAGGAAAUAUAUGCUUUUUCCGUAUUAUAUUUAAUCUUACAUUAAUCAUAAUUUUUUUUUGGUAGUGAUUUGUACACAUAAUUUUAUCUCAAUCUUAGAAAAUAAGAAACUGUUUAGAUAAUCAUAUUUAUUUUUGGAAUUAAUGAUUCUGUUUUUAGCUUUUAGGUACGGAACUAUGCGAGACAAUGUCAUUAAUCUCAAGGUUUUCUACCUCUCCUUCUAAGUCUGGUUCCUUAUAAGGAGGUUUGAUUUCUUAACACUACUUCUAAUCCAGGUAGUUCUUGCCAAUGGAGAUGUUGUCAAGUCAGCUUCCCGUGCUCGUAAAAGUUCUGCAGGGUAUGAUUUGACUCGCUUGAUGAUUGGAAGUGAAGGAACACUUGGCAUAAUAACGGAGGUCACCUUACGACUUCAGAAAAUUCCACAACAUUCAGUGGUUGCAAUGUGUAAUUUUCCAACAAUUAAGGAUGCAGCAGAUGUUGCCAUUGCCACUAUGCUGUCUGGGAUACAGGUGUCGAGGGUAGAACUGUUGGAUGAGGUUCAAAUAAGGGCUAUUAAUAUUGCCAAUGGGAAGAAUUUACCUGAAGUUCCUACUUUGAUGUUUGAAUUCGUAGGCACGGAGGCAUAUGCACGUGAGCAAACACUAAUAGUUCAGGAGAUCGUUUCUAGGCACAAUGGCUCAGAUUUUGUUUUUGCAGAACAGCCUGAAGCUAAAAAGGAACUUUGGAAGAUAAGAAAAGAGGCUCUGUGGGCUUGCUUUGCAAUGGAACCAAAAUAUGAGGCAAUGAUUUCGGAUGUGUGUGUUCCUUUAUCACAUCUGGCAGAAUUGAUAUCAAGGUCUAAAGAAUAGUUGGAUGCAUCCCUACUGGUUUGGUAUGCAUUAUCUGUAUAAAUAUAUCUUCCUGAGAUUUCAAAGGUUUAAUUUCCUUAUUGAUGUGUGCUGUCCAUUGAAUUGACAGUGUUAAUUUAUUUUCCUACUGUCUCUCAAAUUACAGCACAGUUAUUGUUCAUGCUGGUGAUGGGAAUUUUCAUACUGUGGUUCUUUUUGAUCUUAGCCAAGAAGGGCAGCAGCGAUUUUAUGGUCCAUAUUGCUUUGUCAAUGGAAGGUGCCUACUUCUGCAUGUAUGCUUCUGUUAGACAGUGAAUACUUGAAGACUUCACAAGCCAUUAGUCAAUGAUGCUUCACAAAAUCACUUCCUACUUCCCUAUACAUUUGUUCCUACCUUUCUUUCUAUACUUUUUUCUUUAAACAAUUUCCAGUGCUAAAACAUCUCUCCCUUUUUUUGGUUUUUUUGGUUAGGAACAUGUAGCGUGAACAUGGUGACAGCACUGGGAAAAUGAAGGUAUUUUGCUUGUUGCUAUAAACCUCUGCACAUUAUCAUCUCAAAAGUUGUUGCAACUCCAUGUUGCUUUUGUUAGCAAAUUUGUUGUAACUUGUGCAGCAGGUUAGUGGGUUAAAAAAAAAGAAGCUGAUAUUAGCUCUCAAAUAAAUCCUGAAAAAUCCCAGCAAGUUUUUGCUUAAACUUUAAAACUCAAUGAGAAAAACUGAUUUUAUUAGCUGAAAAAAAAAUGUCUUUAACACUAAAUAUUUAUAAGGAAACCUGUUGCCCAAAUGGAAUUCCUAAAUUAACUAGGAACUUGACUAAAAAAACAUAAAUCCUGUUUAAAAUUAAAGUCCUAAACCAGCAAGGAAUUUGACUAAAAUAGCAUACAUCCUAGAGAAAUUAGAAAAGAAAAGUCAACGAUAUGUAGGCUGUCUAGGUCAGUUUCACCCAACUGGAUCACUAUCUCUGUAUGAAUAAUGACCAUAGAUAUUUUCUUAUUUCUGAACUUGAAUUUUCAUCUCUUGAUGCAGACAUGAUUACAUAAAAGACAUUUUUAAUUGGCUACCUAUUAUUACAUUUUGACCAGUUAUAUCACAGCUUCGGAUCCUCACACAUAGGUCUAUUACCAUUUGUUAGCUUCAGACUUUGGGAAUGAUACUGAAGGGUAAUAUGCUUUCCAAAAUCUCCUCCUCUGAACCCCAAUUCGCUGGGUUCAUAGCUAGAUUAUGCCUCUAUUAGGAUUCAGUUAAAAGAUGAAUUUAAAGGCAAAAUUCUGCUUCAUUUGCCACUGUUAGUUCAUGACCAAGAUUGAGCAUAAAUGAUGCAGUAUGAUUGAUUGUCCAAUUAAAUGUUAGCAAAAAGUACCCAUGAACACACAUACAAAUUAGAAAUUAAAGAGAGAGAAAGCCAUUACAAAGAUUUUAUGUGGUUUGGCAAGUGUGCCUACAUUCAGGGAUGGUGUCCUGCUUUUUCAGAAUUGAAAGGAGAUCAUUAUAGCCUACUUAAAUAGACCCUACGGUUAAUCCUUGUAUAAAUAGGAUUUAUAUAAUCAUCCCAGUAAUAAUAAAAGAUGGCCAAUACCAUCAAUACCGGACUGUACCUCAUCAUGUACUGGGGUAAACCUUAAAUUCUUCUCCAAUAAACAUGAGCCAUAACCCAUGUUGAAGAUUAUGGUACCCAAUCGUGUUUAUUUUUUCUUGUCAAUUUUAG